rnacentral:rRNA from 1 species
AUGACAGUAGAUUGGCGAGCGAAGCAUUUGCAGUUUCAGUCAGCAAAAGGAGCAGUUGUCCUCCAGGGCCACGAAGCAACAUCCUCAACUUGCUAUACUAUCAACAGCAUUCAGCUUCAGGCUCUUUGCAAGCAGGGUGCAGUGUCACACAUAGUUCAGGUGUAUUCAGUUUCACCAGUCCAAGAGCAGCAGCAACCAGUCCCACCACUCAUUCAGCAGUUAGUGGAAGAAUUUUCAGAUGUGUUUGGAGAACCACAGGGUCUGCCGCCCCGUCGUGCAUGUGAUCAUCGGAUACCCUUGAUUCCCGGAGCAUAG